CAGUAGCCGCGGUAAUACGAAGGGUGCAAGCGUUAAUCGGAAUUACUGGGCGUAAAGCGUGCGUAGGCGGUUUGUUAAGUCUGUUGUGAAAUCCCCGGGCUCAACCUGGGAAUGGCAAUGGAUACUGGCAAGCUAGAGUGUGUCAGAGGAUGGUGGAAUUCCCGGUGUAGCGGUGAAAUGCGUAGAGAUCGGGAGGAACAUCAGUGGCGAAGGCGGCCAUCUGGGACAACACUGACGCUGAGGCACGAAAGCGUGGGGAGCAAACAGGAUUAGAGACCCCCGUAGUCCCUGUCUCUUAUAC
rnacentral:rRNA from 1 species